AAGUCGUAACAAGGUCUCCGUUGGUGAACCAGCGGAGGGAUCAUUAUAGAGUUUUCUAAACUCCCAAACCCAUGUGAACUUACCAUUGUUGCCUCGGCAGAGCCUACCCGGUACCUACCCUGGAACUAGCUACCCUGUAGCUACCCAGGAACGGGCUACCCUGUAACGUCCUGCCGGUGGACUUCUAAACUCUUGUUAUUUAUAGUAAUCUGAGCGUCUUAUUUUAAUAAGUCAAAACUUUCAACAACGGAUCUCUUGGUUCUG
rnacentral:misc_RNA from 1 species